UACGUAGGUGGCAAGCGUUGUCCGGAAUUAUUGGGCGUAAAGCGCGCGCAGGCGGUUCCUUAAGUCUGAUGUGAAAGCCCCCGGCUCAACCGGGGAGGGUCAUUGGAAACUGGGGAACUUGAGUACAGAAGAGGAAAGCGGAAUUCCACGUGUAGCGGUGAAAUGCGUAGAGAUGUGGAGGAACACCAGUGGCGAAGGCGGCUUUCUGGUCUGUAACUGACGCUGAGGCGCGAAAGCGUGGGGAGCAAACAGG
rnacentral:rRNA from 1 species